GGCAAAGCAGGGACUGUGCUGUCACAUGCUACUGAAGCAAACAAAAAUCCUAUUGUAUGGGGUGAGGGGUGGGGAAAAAGGAAAAUGAACAAGGUGAGGCAGUGAGGAAGGAAGUACACGUUAGCAUAACCCGCCGUUUAUGGGUUUAAUGUGUGCCCAUGGGUGUGUGCAGGUGCACUCAGGGCACUGUGUUGUGGUCUGCUGCCUGGAGGCAGACCAGGGCUUGUGCGUGGCUUUUGGCUAGAGUUACUCACAGGUGACCCACGGAGUCAGUGCAGGGGCUAUGAGAAUUUGCAUUUGCAUCAAAACGAUGCAGAAUCAAGACUGAAAGAAGUUAAGUAACUUCACUCUAGAUCAUCUGGUAGAGGGUAUAAAGGAGAUCUAGCCCUGGGAAGUUAGGCUCUAAAACCUGUGCCGUUCCUAUGAAAGCACAUUUCCUUCAUAAAAGGGUAACUUACAUCUUGUCUUUUCUGUAGUCUCUAAGUGGUUGAUUCCAUAAGAAAGUACUCAAAGCCAGUGACUGUUGAACUCAGUUUUAGCAUUUUUGGAAACUGAGAUCCAAAAAGUGUAAAUGAUUGUGAAACGGGCUUCAGUGGCUUCGUUGCAAAUCUAGAACUAAACAUCUUUUUCUUUUGCUACAAAAUGUUGUAAAUACUGAAAACAAUUUCUCAUCUAAUUCACUAUUGCAAGCUGUCGCAUAAUUUGGCUAUAAUCUUGAAGCCAAAUGGCUCAUUUUGCAGGCAUUAUUUGCACAGCCAUUUCCUUUCUUUUUUUGUGGCAGUAUAUGUGUGGAUUAGGAGUAACUCACAGCAACCAAAAGUAAACUAAAAACAAAUAUGUCAUUUGAUUUUAAAUGUGCUAAAUUUUGUCCUGAUGUUAGUAUAAAUAGUGUAUAAACAAGAUGUGCACACUACUUGGGGUGGGAUAUAAGGUCAUGAAUCCUUAAUUGUAAAGAAACCAAAAAGUUUUUAGAAAAAGAGUAGGUGGAGAAAACAGAAGAUUAUUGAACAGGCAAUAAUAAGAGAGAUUUAGUGAGAGACUAUAAAAGGCAAAAAAAAAAGAGAAACAGCUCAGAGACUCUGAACUGAGACUAUGUCCACCCCAAAAGAAGACUUUAUGCAGGGGAAUUCUGGAAGCAGACUUUUAAAUAGGCUAAUAUGUAAUCAAGUCCUGGGCAGACUAUAGGGUAGCAAGUUUAACCUAUUGCUGGGAAAAGGAGCUGGAUAUAAAAAAAAGGAAUCUUGACCCCUCUGUGACCAAAGUUUAAGAAAGAAACAUUUAGCGUAUUAUUAGGGUGAGAUAUAUGACUGUGUGUGUCUUGAGUGCAGAGAAAGGAGGCAGGGAUACUCAAGGGUUGACAGAAAAAUGGGUGUAGCAACACGUGUGAUGGGAUAGAAAAAGUCACAGGAAAGCCAUAUGCGAUUGCAACUUUGAGAUAAGGUGAGUAAACCCACAUGUGUCUGUACUCAUGUCUUACCGCUUUUACUGAUACUCAUUUUCAUUUCAGUUUCAAGAAAUCAUUUAAGUCCUUUUUUCUCUGAAGGUAAAUCAAAGUGAAAGAAGUCAUUAAGUCAGGUAACAAAUACUUAUCAAGUGCCUGUUGUUUGCUGGACAUAGCAGGAGUGCUCCCAGGCAAGGAAUAGACACCUAUUUUUCAGACUUCUGAUCUCUUUGGGGAUUGCCAAAAUGACCUCAAGUAGUGAAGAUAUAGUGGAAUAAUCUGUAUUUCUGCUGACCUUGAUGACAUUUGGAUCUCAUUUGAGGUACUAAGAAGAAUAAGCAAUUGGUUUGAAAAAAGCCCUUUUAAGAGCAAAAUGAAUUCUGCUAAAGUUGAAGCAGGAACAAAUAUCAAAUUUAUGGUGAAGCUCAGGUGGAAGAAUGAUGAAAUCACUGAUGCUUUACAAGAAGUUUAUGGGGACAAUGCCUUAAAGAAAUCAGCAGUUUACAAAUGGAUAACUUGUUUUAGGAAAGGAUGAGAUGCUGAAGAUAAAUCCUGCAGUGGCAAAUUCAUCCACAUCAAUUUGUAAGGAAAAAAUUUAUCUUCUUCAUGCCCUAACUAACCAACAUUUAAUAGCUUGGACAAUAGCCAACACCACAGACAUCUCAAUUAGUUCAGCUUACACAAUCCUGACUAAAAAAUCAAAGUUGAGCACCUUCCACUCAAUUGGUGCCAAAACCAUGGCACCCAGAUCAACUGCAGACAAGAGUGGAGCUUUCCAUGAAUAUUUUAAACAACUGGGAUCAAGAUCCUGUAGCAUUUCUCAAAGAAUAGUAACAAGAGAUGAAACAUAGCUUUACCAGUAUGAUCCUGAAGACAAAGCACAAUCAAAGCAAUGGCUACCAAGAGGUGGAGUGGUCCAGUCAAAGCAAAAGCAGACCAGUCAAAAGCAAGGGUCAUGGCAACAGUGUUUUGGGAUGCCCAAGGCACUUUGUUUGCUGACUUGCUGGAAGGCCAAAAAACGAUCACAUCUGCUUAUUAUGAGAGUGUUCUGAGAAAGUUAGCCAGAGCUUUAGUAGAAAAAUGCCUGGGAAAGCUCCACCAAAGAGUCCUUCUCUACCAUGACAAUGCUCCUGCUCAUUCAUCUCAUCAAACAAGAGGAAAUUUGUGACAGUUUCAAUGGGAAAUCAAUAGGCAUCCACCUUAUAGUCCUGAUUUGGCUCCUUUUAACCUGUUUUUGUUUCUUAGUCUUUUUUUAAAAAAAUCUUUAAAGGGCAAUCAUUUUUCUUCGGUAAAUAAUGUAGAGUGCAUUGACAUGGUUAAAAAGACUGCAUUGACAUGGUUAAAUUACCAGAACUCUCAGUACAUUAGGUAUGGAUUAAAUGGCUGAUAUAUCACUUUCUCAUCAAUUUCAAGACAUUUUUGUUUUCUCAUAUGAUGCAUCAUGAAGCAAAGAUGACUGAAGUGCCUCUUUGUACCUGAUAGUUUCCCAAUGUGUUUUUAUAAUUUUAGGUUCUAAGCUUAUUUUUAAUAUGUAUGUGUUUCUCCUGUAGAAAAUCUUGGUUGAUAAUUUGUCCUUUUGCUACUUCUAGGCUUCCCAGGAUAUCCCAAUUUCAGAGCACUUUUUAUGUUAAUUUCUCACUUAGAGGUUGGCAAACCUCACAUAUAUUACCUAUUUCAAUUAUAAGCCCCCAAAUUUAUGUGAGGGGAGGCAUGGUUACAAACUCAUAGGGAAGACAUUUUCCUCUUUACUUAGAGCCCAAACCAAGACAUUCAUUUAUGCAAUAAAAGCUUACUAAGUUACUGUGCUAAAGACUAGGGAUGUCAUAAGAAACAGGCAAAAUCUCUGCUCUCAUGAAAGUUAUAUUUUGGAAGAAUAUCCUUGUGCUGAUGGGGAAAUUUUCUAGUCCUCCAGCAGGAAUCUCAGUUUUCACUCCCUGACUCCAUUAGGCUCAUGGCCUCAUUUCAUAUUCUUUUAUGGUUAUUAUAACCCAUUUCCAUGAUUACCAAGGCUGGCAAUAUUCUUUCCUCCACCAUCUUCAAAUUGACCUUACCAUUUUAUUUUGCCUUCUUCAUUUUUGGCAAGUAGGAGCUUGGCUUACUUUAUUGUAAGCUCAGCUAUACAUUUAAAAGUAAAUAUACAAUUUCUUUUCAUCAUUUCUAUGGGUUUGGUGGCACAGGGAGUUACAAUAUCUGGUCUACCACAUUGCAGGAACUAGAUUUCCCCAGAUGACUAACUCUUCAGUCAAAAGUCUUCUUUUUUCCCCGCCUCAAACACUUUAGAUUUACUUAUGCCACUGUGGAAAAUUAUUUCCACUGUCCUUGAAGUCCCCUUUCCCAGGUUUUCCCUCUGCUGUUUUUUUCUAAUCUUUCACGGUGUGCUCAAAUGUUACCUCUUCAAAGAGGCUUUCCUGGAAAACCUCACCUUGAGCACUCUAUCUCACUCACUAAUUUCUUUGUUUUUUUUCUUAUUUAUAACUUUAUCAGUAUUUUGAAUUAUUAUACUUAUUUAUUUACUUACUUGUUGAUCAUGCCUCUAUUCCACUGUAAUGCAACUUCCAUGACAGCAUGAUCUUUUUUGUCUUGUUUAUCAUUAUUUCUCUAGGGUCAGUCUACCACUACUUUUAUUGUCUUGGCAGAAUUAGGUGUCUCCUGAGGUGAUGCAAAAAGAAAAGACAUUAUCAGUGAUGGCUUCUAACCAAGGAUUCAAGGCUUCUGAUUUAAAUUCUAUAUUAUAGCCAUCACAGGGGUGAAGGCACAAAGUAAAUGACACCAGAAAGAGGAUUUAACACAAAAUCCGAAACUUGGGAUAUUUCACAGGAUAAAUUGCUGAGCCUCUUCAGCAAAUAAGUGUCUAGCAAAUCCUGUAUUAGUAUCUUUAGUGAUCAUACCUGAAUUUGCUCUCCAAAGGCACCAUAUCUAUACAUUCUUAGUAUCCUAUCUGUUUUAAGCAGAUAAUAAAGUCAGCUAAACCUUCCCUUACUGUUACACACUGAGUAAGUGCAAUUUGGAUGGUUUGAAGAUAUUAAAUCUUUCAGCCCAGAUUUAAGAAUACCUGUUUGAGAGAAAUUACAAGAGCUUUUAAUGCUUGCUACAGAAAGGUAAUGUCUUAUCUUUUCUGUUUAGUAUUUUGCAUUCCAAAAAAUGAGAAAAGUUAUUCCAUAAGUUGAUAAUUGAAUAAAAGAAUCAAAACAUG
rnacentral:lncRNA from 1 species